ACGUGAUCGUCGAAUCUGUUGACCUGGCGCCACCGGAAAAAGAAAUUCCCGGGCCCUGGCUUCUUGGCCUGAUGGUGAGGCACCAGAGGUGAAGCGAGGCAUGGGCUGCUGGAGCGGGAAUGAGGGGGCGACAGUGGCUCCGGAAACGGGGGGAGGGUGUCUUCACUGGCCUCUCCGCAAACACAGUGUGUGCGGGUGUGAGGGCUGCAGGUCUGGUAGAGAAGAGUCCACCGCCAUCCCGCUCCUGAGACGGGGGCAGGAGUGGGGGGCAGGAGUGGGGGGGCGGGUAAGACAGAGCAGGCCGGCCGGCUUGUGGAGGGCGAGGCAGGCAGAUCCCUUGAGCUCAGGAGUUUGAGACCAGACUGGGCAACAUGGCAAAACCCCAUCUCUACUAAAAAUACAAAAAAUUAGCUGGGCAUGGUGGCACAUGCCUGUAGUCCCAGGUAGUUAGGAGGCUAGGGUGGGAGCACUGCUUGAGCCCAGGAAGUAGAGGCUGCAGUGAGCCGAGAUCAUGAUGUCACUGCACUCCAGCCUGGGCAACAGAGUGGGACCCUGUCUCAAAAAAUAAAAAUAAAGUGGAAGCAUCAGUAUGCAUGAUUGAAGUCAUGCUUUCCAUCUAUUUUUUUCCACCUUCCCUUUUUUCUGUCUAAAACAUUGUAUCUUAAGCUUUUGCCUAUGUUAUCAAGUACUCAUAAGCAUUAUUUGAAUGGUUGUAUCAUAAUCCAUUAUCUGGACUCAUUGUCAUUUAUCCAUCUGCAGUUGCUGGAGAUACUGCCCUUUCUGCCACACUCAGUCACCCUUCUGACCUUGCACUGUGUCCAGUUAUCUACUAAUACCCAUACUGGUCAUUUAGGACUUAAGAAUAGUUAUCAUAGUUUUUAACAUUCCAAAAAGAAUGUGUCUUCCUAAAAAUAGAAUGGCUUGGUGGUUAUACUUUUAAAGCAAAAUAGACAAAGCCAUGUUGAAAUUAAUGUUUUAUUUUCUUCUUGUAUCUAUUUUCACUUCUCUUGUCAUUUUGAUGGAUAAAGUUUCAUUUGGAAGGAUUUUUAUUUCAAAACAGAAAUAGCAUAUGACAUGAGAAGGGGAACUCUGAAAGGUUCAACUUCCUAGUUUACUAAGUUUGUCACAAAAGCUACUGAUAGUCAAUCAUGAUUGGCCUGUAUUGAAAGUGAGUUAACAUUAUGUACAACUUAAGCACUAUACUUUCUAUCCGAUACAGAAAAAUAGGUGGUGUGUUUGGAAAAGUAUUGGGCUAGGAGUCAGGAAGCUUGAUUGUUAGUCUCAACCCUGCUUCUUGAGCUGAGCACCCCUAGGCAAUAAUUCAGCAGCUAUUUCUUAAAUACCUAAAUGAAUUUCAGGCUUUGUGGUUGGGCUGGGAAUAUAGACAUAGAUACUGCAUUCAUGAUUCUCCAAGCCUCCCUUCUUCACCCCGGCUCACAGUGAGCUUUCUUAUGCAUUGUGUAAAUUUGUCUCCUAACAGGCCCCAACUCUGUCUCCAACCUCCUUCCCAGGGCAGUUGUGAGGAUCAGAUGAGGGAGAAUAUGUGUGAAAGCAAAUUGUAAAUUAUUUUAAAAUGCAAUAAAAAUAUGAUCCAUGGAAAAUUA
ensembl:lncRNA novel transcript